rnacentral:rRNA from 1 species
UACGAAGGGGGCUAGUGUUGUUCGGAAUUACUGGGCGUAAAGCGCGCGCAGGCGGCUAUCCAAGUCAGUGGUGAAAGCCCGGAGCUCAACUCCGGAACUGCCAUUGAAACUGUUUAGCUUGAGGACGAGAGAGGUGAGUGGAAUUCCCAGUGUAGAGGUGAAAUUCGUAGAUAUUGGGAAGAACACCGGUGGCGAAGGCGGCUCACUGGCUCGUAUCUGACGCUCAGGCGCGAUAGCGUGGGGGAUCAAACAGG